UGUAAAAUGGGGAACGAUGCUCUCUGUGGCCU
rnacentral:piRNA from 1 species